UACGUAGGGGGCAAGCGUUGUCCGGAUUUAUUGGGCGUAAAGAGCGUGUAGGCGGCCAGACAGGUCCGUUGUGAAAACUAGAGGCUUAACCUCUAGACGUCGAUGGAAACCGUUUGGCUAGAGUCCGGAAGAGGAGAAUGGAAUUCCUGGUGUAGCGGUGAAAUGCGCAGAUAUCGGGAGGAACACCAGAGGCGAAGGCGGCGACCUGGAUAGGUACUGACACUCAACUACGAAAGCGUGGGGAGCAAACAGG
rnacentral:rRNA from 1 species